AUUGAACGCUGGCGGCAGGCCCAACACAUGCAAGUCGAGCGGAGCGGCGGACGGGUGAGUAAUGCCUAGGAAUCUGCCUGCUAGUGGGGGAUAACGUCCGGAAACGGGCGCUAAUACCGCAUACUAUCAGAUGAGCCUAGGUCGGUUUAGCUAGUUGGUGGGGUAAAGGCCUACCAGGGCGACGAUCCGUAACUGGUCUGAGAGGAUGAUCAGUCAAACUGGAACUGAGACACGGUCCAGACUCCUACGGGAGGAAGCAGGGGGGAAUAUUGGGCAAGGGGGGAAGGCUUGAUCCAGCCAUGCCGCGGGUGUGAAGAAGGUCUUCGGAUUGUAAAGCACUUUAAGUUGGGAGGCGUUACCAACAGAAUAAGCACCGGCUAACUUCGUGCCAGCAGCCGCGGUAAUUC
rnacentral:rRNA from 1 species